rnacentral:rRNA from 1 species
UCGAGCGAGGAGCUUGGUACUUGUAUCAGGCCGAAAGUGGCGAACGGGUGAGUAACACGUUGGCGACCUCCCCCGAGAAGGGGGAUAACUCCUUGAAAGAGGAGCUAAUACCUCAGAUGACUGGACUGUUAGAGGGUCCAGCCUAAAGCCUUGGCGUCUCGGGAGGACCUGCGGGCUAUCAGCAUAGAGUUGGNGGGAUAAGAGCCUACCAAGGCGAAGAUGGCUAGG